UACGAAGGGGGCUAGCGUUGUUCGGAAUUACUGGGCGUAAAGCGCACGUAGGCGGAUACUUAAGUCAGGGGUGAAAUCCCGGGGCUCAACCCCGGAACUGCCUUUGAUACUGGGUAUCUCGAGUCCGGAAGAGGUGAGUGGAAUUCCGAGUGUAGAGGUGAAAUUCGCAGAUAUCGGGAAGAACACCCGUGGCGAAGGCGGCUCUCUGGGACGGUACUGACGCUGAGACGCGAAAGCGUGGGUAGCAAACAGG
rnacentral:rRNA from 1 species